GGCUAUAGCUCAGUUAGGUAGAGCACCUCGUUUACACGAAGGUCUACGGUUCGAGUCCGUAUAGCCCUA
rnacentral:tRNA from 1 species